rnacentral:SRP_RNA from 1 species
GCCAGGCAUGGUGAUGGGUGCCUGUAGUCCCGGCUAUUCAGGAGGCUGAGGCUGAAGGAUCUCUUGAGUCAAAGAGUUCUGGGCUGUAGUGCACUAUGCCAAUCAGGUGUCUGCACUAAGUUCGGCAUUAAUAUGGUGACCUCCCGGGAGCGGGGGACCACCAGGUUGCCUAAGGAGGGGUGAACCGGCCCAGGUCAGAAACAGAGCAGGUCAAAACUCCUGUGCUGAACAGUAGUGGGAUUGCGCCUGUGAAUAGCCACCGCACUCCAGCCUGGGCAUCAUAGCGAGACCCUGUCUCU